rnacentral:rRNA from 1 species
UACGGAGGGAGCUAGCGUUGUUCGGAUAUACUGGGCGUAAAGCGCACGUAGGCGGCGCCGUAAGUCAGGGGUGAAAUCCCGGAGCUCAACUCCGGAACUGCCCUUGAAACUGCAGUGCUAGAAUCUUGGAGAGGCGAGUGGAAUUCCGAGUGUAGAGGUGAAAUUCGUAGAUAUUCGGAAGAACACCAGUGGCGAAGGCGGCUCACUGGCCCAUAACUGACGCUGAGGCACGAAAGCGUGGGGAGCAAACAGG